rnacentral:rRNA from 1 species
GAUGAACGCUGGCGGCGUGCCUAAUACAUGCAAGUCGAGCGAACGGACGAGAAGCUUGCUUCUCUGAUGUUAGCGGCGGACGGGUGAGUAACACGUGGAUAACCUACCUAUAAGACUGGGAUAACUUCGGGAAACCGGAGCUAAUACCGGAUAAUAUUUUGAACCGCAUGGUUCAAAAGUGAAAGACGGUCUUGCUUUCACUUAUAGAUGGAUCCGCGCUGCAUUAGCUAGUUGGUAAGGUAACGGCUUACCAAGGCAACGAUGCAUAGCCGACCUGAGAGGGUGAUAGGCCACACUGGAACUGAGACACGGUCCAGACUCCGACGGGAGGCAGCAGUAGGGAAUCUUCCGCAAUGGGCGAAAGCCGGACGGAGAAACGCCGCGUGAGUGAUGAAGGUCUUCGGAUCGUAAAACUCUGUUAUUAGGGAAGAACAUAUGUGUAAGUAACUGUGCACAUCUUGACGGUACCUAAUCAGAAAGCCACGGCUAACUAAGUG